CAACUCGACUACAUGAAGCUGGAAUCGCUAGUAAUCGCGAAUCAGAAUGUCGCGGUGAAUACGUUCCCGGGUCUUGUACACACCGCCCGUCACACCAUGGGAGUCGGAUAUGCCCGAAGUCAGUGACCCAACCAUAUGGAGGGAGCUGCCGAAGGUGGAGCCGAUAACUGGGGUGAAGUCGUAACAAGGUACC
rnacentral:rRNA from 1 species